UCCGGUUUGGCACCGGCAGUCCCCCGAGAGUCCUCAGCGCCUUGCGGCCUGUUAGCAACACGGGGCGGGGGUUGCGUUCGUUGCGGGACUUAACCCAACACCUCACGGCACGAGCUGACGACAGCCAUGCACCACCUGCGCAGAAGUCCCUUGCGGGAGGUUCUCGCUUUCACGAAAAUUUCCUCUGCAUGUCAAGCCCAGGUAAGGUUCUGCGCGUUGCUUCGAAUUGAACCACAUGCUCCACCGCUUGUGCGGGCCCCCGUCAAUUCCUUUGAGUUUCAUUCUUGCGAACGUACUCCCCAGGCGGGAUACUUAACGCGUUAGCUACAGCAUUGCACGGGUCGAUACGCACAGCGCCUAGUAUCCAUCGUUUACGGCUAGGACUA
rnacentral:misc_RNA from 1 species